rnacentral:rRNA from 1 species
AUUGAACGCUGGCGGCAGGCCUAACACAUGCAAGUCGGGCGAGCGGCGGACGGGUGAGUAAUGUAUGGGGAUCUGCCUGAUGGCGGGGGAUAACUACUGGAAACGGUAGCUAAUACCGCAUACCAUCAGAUGUGCCCAGAUGGGAUUAGCUAGUAGGUGGGGUAAUGGCUCACCUGGGCGACGAUCCCUAGCUGGUCUGAGAGGAUGACCGGCCACACUGGAACUGAGACACGGUCCGGCCGCCUACGGGAGGCAGCGGGGGGGAAUAUUGAAAAAUGGGCGCAACCCUGAUGCGUCCAGGCGGGGUGUGUGAAGAAGGCCUGCGGGUUGUAAAGCACUUUCAGCGAGGAGGCGUUACUCGCGGAAGAGGCACCGGCUAACUCCGGGCCAGCAGCCGCGUAAUAC